CACGUAGGGCGCAAGCGUUGUCCGGAAUUAUUGGGCGUAAAGAGCUCGUAGGCGGUCUGUUGCGUCCGCUGUGAAAACUCGGGGCUUAACCCCGAGCCUGCAGUGGAUACGGGCAGACUAGAGGUAGGUAGGGGAGAAUGGAAUUCCUGGUGUAGCGGUGAAAUGCGCAGAUAUCAGGAGGAACACCGAUGGCGAAGGCAGGUCUCUGGGCCACUACUGACGCUGAGAAGCGAAAGCAUGGGGAGCGAACAGG
rnacentral:rRNA from 1 species